CCCUUAGAUGUUCUGGGCCGCACGCGCGCUACACUGAUGCAUUCAACGAGCCUAUCCUUGACCGACAGGUCCGGGUAAUCUUUGAAUCUGCAUCGUGACGGGGAUAGAUUAUUGCAAUUAUUAAUCUUCAACGAGGAAUGCCUAGUACGCGCAAGUCAUCAGCUUGCAUGGAUUACGUCCCUGCCCUUUGUACACACCGCCCGUCGCACCUACCGAUUGAGUGGUCCGGUGAAGACCUCGGACUGUGGCUGCGGUUGCUUGAUUGCGACUGUGUGCUGUGGGAAGUUGUCUAAAUCUUAUCACUUAGAGGAAGGUGAAGUCGUAACA
rnacentral:rRNA from 1 species